UACGUAGGUGGCAAGCGUUGUCCGGAUUUACUGGGCGUAAAGAGCGCGCAGGCGGUCGUAUAAGUCGAAUGUGAAAGCCCCCGGCUCCAACUGGGGAGGGUCAUUCGAUACUGUUCGACUCGAAGGCAGGAGAGGGAAGUGGAAUUCCGGGUGUAGUGGUGAAAUGCGUAGAUAUCCGGAGGAACACCAGUGGCGAAGGCGACUUCUGGCCUGUUCUGACGCUGAGGCGCGAAAGCUA
rnacentral:rRNA from 1 species